rnacentral:rRNA from 1 species
UACGGAGGGUGCAAGCGUUAUCCGGAUUCACUGGGUUUAAAGGGUGCGUAGGUGGUCCGUUAAGUUCGUUGUGAAAUCCCUGGGCUCAACCCAGGAAAUGCUUCGAAUACUGGCGGACUUGAGGCUAGUAGAGGUCACUGGAACUGACGGUGGAGCGGUGAAAUGCGUAGAUAUCGUCAGGAACGCCGAUGGUGAAGACAGGUGACUGGGCUAGUUCUGACACUGAGGCACGAAAGCGUGGGGAGCAAACAGG